GCUUACGGCCAUAUCAUGUUGAAAGCACCGGUUCUUGUUCGAUCACCGAAGUUAAGCAACAUCGAGCCUAGUUAGUACUUAGAUGGGUGAUCGCUUGGGAAGCCUAGGUGCUGUUAGCG
rnacentral:rRNA from 1 species